UACGAAGGGGGCUAGCGUUGCUCGGAAUCACUGGGCGUAAAGGGUGCGUAGGCGGGUCUUUAAGUCAGGGGUGAAAUCCUGGAGCUCAACUCCAGAACUGCCUUUGAUACUGAAGAUCUUGAGUUCGGGAGAGGUGAGUGGAACUGCGAGUGUAGAGGUGAAAUUCGUAGAUAUUCGCAAGAACACCCAGUGGCGAAGGCGGCUCACUGGCCCGAUACUGACGCUGAGGCACGAAAGCGUGGGGAGCAAACAGG
rnacentral:rRNA from 1 species